UGCAAUCUACCUUUCACAAAGGGAUAGCCCAGAGAAAUUUGGAUUAAUACCUUAUAGUAAUACGACUUGGCAUCAAGAUGUAUUUAAAGAUUUAUCGGUGAAAGAUGAGCAUGCGUCCCAUUAGCUUGUUGGUAAGGUAACGGCUUACCAAGGCAACGAUGGGUAGGGGUCCUGAGAGGGAGAUCCCCCACACUGGUACUGAGACACGGACCAGACUCCUACGGGAGGCAGCAGUGAGGAAUAUUGGACAAUGGGCGCAAGCCUGAUCCAGCCAUGCCGCGUGCAGGAUGACGGUCCUAUGGAUUGUAAACUGCUUUUGUACAGGAAGAAACCCUUUCACGUGUGGAAGAUUGACGGUACUGUAAGAAUAAGGAUCGGCUAACUCCGUG
rnacentral:rRNA from 1 species